rnacentral:rRNA from 1 species
GACGGGGGGUCCUAGCGUUGUUCGGAAUCAUUGGGCGUAAAGCGUGUGCAGGUGGUUUGGUAAGUUGGAUGUGAAAGCCUUGGGCUUAACCCAAGAAGUGCAUUCAAAACUCCCAAACUUGAGUAGGGAAGAGGGUCGUGGAAUUCCAGGUGUAGUGGUGAAAUACGUAGAUAUCUGGAGGAACACCGGUGGCGAAGGCGGGUCUCUGGGCCGUAACUGACGCUGAGGAGCGAAAGCGUGGGGAGCGAACAGG